rnacentral:rRNA from 1 species
CCUACGGGAGACAGCAGUGAGGAAUAUUGGUCAAUGGUCGGGAGACUGAACCAGCCAAGCCGCGUGAGGGAUGAAGGUACAGAGUAUCGUAAACCUCUUUUGUCAGGGAACAAAGGCGGGGACGUGUCCCCGGAUGAGUGUAUCCGAAGAAAAAGCAUCGGCCAACUCCGGGCCAGCAGCCGCGGUAAUACGGAGGAUGCGAGCGUUAUCCGGAUUUAUUGGGUUUAAAGGGUGUGCAGGCGGUUCGUUAAGACAGCGGUGAAAGGCCGGGGGUCAACCCCGGGCCGGCAGUUGAAACUGGCAGUCUCGAGUUGAAGGGAGGUAUGCGGAAUGCGCGGUGUAGCGGUGAAAUGCAUAGAUAUCGCGCAGAACUCCGAUUGCGAAGGCAGCAGGCCGGCUCCACACUGACGCUGAGGCACGAAAGCGUGGGUAUCGAACAGGAUUAGAUACCCCUGUAGUC